rnacentral:rRNA from 1 species
AGGACGAACGCUGGCGGCGUGCUUAACACAUGCAAGUCGAGCGGUAAGGCCUUUCGGGGUACACGAGCGGCGAACGGGUGAGUAACACGUGGGUGAUCUGCCCUGCACUUCGGGAUAAGCCUGGGAAACUGGGUCUAAUACCGGAUAUGACCUCAGGUUGCAUGACUUGGGGGUGGAAAGUAUUUAUCGGGUGCGAGGAGUCGGGGCCCGCGGCCUAGUCCAGUCUUGGUUGGGUGGAAGUUAAUCGGGCCUAACCGAGGGUCGACGGACGGGUAGCCCGACCUGAGGAGGGUCGACCGGCCACGACCGGGACU